GAUGAACGCUGGCGGUGUGCCUAAUACAUGCAAGUCGAGCGAAUGGAUUAAGAGCUUGCUCUUAUGAAGUUAGCGGCGGACGGGUGAGUAACACGUGGGUAACCUGCCCAUAAGACUGGGAUAACUCCGGGAAACCGGGGCUAAUACCGGAUAACAUUUUGAACCGCAUGGUUCGAAAUUGAAAGGCGGCUUCGGCUGUCACUUAUGGAUGGACCCGCGUCGCAUUAGCUAGUUGGUGAGGUAACGGCUCACCAAGGCAACGAUGCGUAGCCGACCUGAGAGGGUGAUCGGCCACCCUGGGACUGAGACACGGCCCAGACUCCUACGGGAGGCAGCAGUAGGGAAUCUUCCGCAAUGGACGAAAGUCUGACGGAGCAACGCCGCGUGAGUGAUGAGGGCUUUCGGGUCGUAAAACUCUGUUGUUAGGGAAGAACAAGUGCUAGUUGAAUAAGCUGGCACCUUGACGGUACCUAACCAGAAAGCCACGGCUAACUACGUGCCAGCCGCCGCCGUAA
rnacentral:rRNA from 1 species